AUCCUCUCCUCUCCAUGCCUUAGUGCAUUGUGCCGCAGCCUCGCCCGCACAGCCACCGUGCUCGCCGUCGCGCGAUGGAGCUUGGUUGGUCGCUGUCGUUCCGUGCCGAGGUGAGAACUCCAGUCUACCUUUUUUUCCCGUCCCUCUCUCCGUCCCCGUUGGUCGAGCGACCCCCUGGCCAACCCAGCCAGUCCCAGCGUCCAGUGCCCCGGCGAGCUCCACUCCCGGCUAACCAUGGCGCUCCCUGCCCAGCCCUUCCCUUGCCGAGCGAGCCACUGCAGUCGUGCCUCCCUGCAUGUCCUGUGUGUGCGGGCCGCCGCCGUUCUAAGCCGCACGCACGAGCCAGCUCCGGCAAGCCUUUCUUCCUCUCCCUUGACCGCGCUACCCUGGCCAGCUCCCCAGCGACAACCAGUCGAGUCCCCUGCGCAUGGCCAGCGUGGCCCAUCCCCAACCUUCGGCCAUCGCCCAAGUGCUCCCUGCGCAUGCGUCCGUCAAAAACAGCAGAGAGGAAAUCGCCUAGCCCCCACUUGCAUGCCGUUUUUCCAUGAUUCUUGUGAUUGAAGAAACCGCAUGAGAGCCCCACUCACAUACACAUGCACGCAUGUCACCAGCCACCACACUAGAGAAAUAAAAACCGUCUUAUCCUCCCUCGCAGAAAUCUCGUGGCCGCAUGCAAGCAUAAAAGGAGAAGAUUUGUGGUCCCACCUGCAUGUGCCAAAAAAAAACAAACUCUGUGACCCUUUGUAUUGCUCUUUUUUAAUAAAAUCGUGCCAUGUGGCUUAUAUUCCACAAGUUAUUUAACUUUGUCUUAAACUUGCUUCGAACCCGUAUCAGUUAUGUUAACUUUGCAAUAACGUCGCGUACGUGUAGUAACAUAGUUUGUCGUGACACGUCUUUUAAUUUAUUAAUUAGAUAAAUAGUAAUUAAAACUAAUUUAUAGUUUUAAUUUGUGUUUUUAUAAAAACAUGUUAAUGUGAUUUUGUACACUCUAUUGUUUAGAAUUAAUACUUGUUUAGUAUAAACCUCAUAUCUGUUAGUGAUUUCCGUAUGUCACACGUGUCGCGCAAUGUCGUGCGCGUUGUUUCACACGUCGUGGUGCUGUUUCACACGUGUCGUUCGCACUCGUUGUCGCGCGCUGUUCGCGUGUGUCACGCACCUUGCCGCGCGUAUCGCACCCUGUUCGCGUACGAUAUUAAAUUGUUCGCUUAUAAUCACUCAUGUCAAUUAAUUAGGUAUUUAUUUAAUCAUCCAAGUUUAAAAUAGUGAGUUAAUCAAAACUAAGUAGUUUUAUUUUAUAUUUCAUAAAUAGCAAUUAAUAUAGUUACAUCGAAUUAAAUAUUCUAACUAAUAAUUGUUUAGUGUAAACACGAUAACUUCUCGACCGUAGCUUCGACCGUCGCGUUUCUUAUCCUCGUCUAACCGUAGAGGCGCUCUCUAUUUUAUAUUGCUCGCUUUUAUAACAUUUUAUCUUGUAUGGUGUAAUGUUCUUAUACAUAUGUAUAUGUUUGUUUGCUUGUGCCUGUUCGUCUUCGCUUCGCGUCGCGAUUAGAUCGCGAUUCGUUUCUGAGCUACGGGGAAUCGACGGUCAAGCUUCGGCGACCAAAUGAUCCAGUUCUUCGAGUUCUACGAGAUCGAAGACCCUGAGCAUCUGUUUGGUGAAGGCAAGUGUCCUCUGUCCCAUUAUGUCCCAUUUACUUUAUAAUACACUGUCCCGCAUACUAUGAACAACCUAAGGAUUUACUAGCUUUCUAUUUACCUUAUCCUUGUUUACCUUUCGGGUUACUAUGGUUAGCUUCAUGCUAGCGCUUUACUUUAAUCAAUGAACAUGAUGAGAUACAAUGAUGAUACUAUGGUUUUAUUCUGGAUAUGAUGAUAUACUUGUGGCAUUUAAGGGGACUCGGGCUGUUUCCCGAGUACCUCUCCGUAAGGACCUGUUCGUUGAGAGACCACCCGGGAUAACAGUGCAACCAUGAGGGUGAAAUGGGAUGCCCUUAGCUAAUUAAUUAGAGGAACUAGAGGUGUAGUUGCUUCGCCGUCGUGCCAUUAAUGGGGUCCAGGCACAGUGCUUGCUCUGCCGAGGUUGAGUGUCGAUGUUCUUUCGUUUUGCUUUUGUUAGUCACCCUCCUGCGGGGAGAGGUACUGUGUUUAUCAAACUGGAGAAACCUAACGGGCGGCUAUGACCUCUAGGGAAUCUUUGUAAAAGCUACGUAGUGAUACCCUGCCGGACCACCUAGGUAGUGGUCAAUGGGGAUUAGCUCUCCCCGGGCAGAAAGGGAAUCAUGACUCAUGGGUAAAGUGUGCGACCUCUGCAGAGGGUAGUGAAACUGAUAUAUCAGCCGUGCUCACGGUUAUGAGCGGCCUUGGGAUCCUCUUUGAUUAGAGAUACAGAUGGUUCGAGAUACAAUGAUUCUUUUUAUUAUUUCGGUUCGAUCAUGAUAAUGAGGUUUCCUCGAUGAGGAAAUGGUUCACGGGUUGGUUAUAUGAUAAAACUUGGCUUCCACUAAUAAUAAAUACCUGACCAACUAAAAGCAAUCUGCUUUGACCUUCACCCCACAUAAAGCUAGUCCACUUCAGCCAAACAGGACAUUUGCUGAGUACGUUGAUGUGUACUCACCCUUGCUUUCACAAAACACCAGGUUGCCUUUGGUGCAAUCUAUGCUCAAGUAAAGAAGAAGGCGUCGAGGCGGAUCUCCAGGAGUUCCAGGACUUCGACGAGUUUGAGGAUUAGGCUAGCGAUCACCCCUAGUCAGCCGCCUGUGGUGGGUUUAUUUACGUUGGCUACGUUUCUAUUCUGUGUACUUUGAUUAUAUUAUGUAAAUGACUCUAGUCUUUAUAUUAUUACUUACUCUUUAUUGUUAUUCGAAGCAUUGUGCUAUGAUGAGUCAUGUUGGGACUAUGCUUCGUCGCCGAAGGUCUUGUAGGAAGAAGCAGCUUUCGGCUGAAGCUGUUCGUAUGAGAUGGCCGAAGGUUCCUCUUCAUGAAGCUUCGGUAUUACAAACCGACUUAAAAGUAGAAUGACCCUCUAGUCCAUAAGUGCCUAGGUCGCUGUUGUAAUCCUUUGUGAGGGGCAUAAUUGUAAUUUCUCAUAGGCUGUGUCCUGUGCCUAUAAAUAGUGAACAGUAUUCCCUUACUGUUCACAGAUUCUGGUUUUUGCAAUCGCAUCAUUCGGGAACCAAUCUUUGCCAAGGCAGAGGUAUAAUUGUAUUCAAUAAUUCAAUAUACUAAGAAAAAUAUAAU
rnacentral:lncRNA from 1 species